CAACCCUCAAGCCUAGCUUGGUGCUGGGGCACUGCGCCGCGCGCAGGCCCUGAAAUACAGUGGCGGAUCUGCUGUAAUCCCGAACGUAGUAACACACCUCGUUUAGGGCGUUUCAGUGGGCACUGCCGUUAAACAGCCCAUAUCUCAU
rnacentral:misc_RNA from 1 species